CACUGAGCAGAGUCAAAGACUAUCUGAUCAAGCCAGCAGUCACAAUGGAGGAUACAUCUUAAUUUUCUACAGUCUUUACAGUAAAUGCUCUAAGCCAUACUGAAUGGAGCAGGGACAGGUGUCAAUAGGAAAGAAAAACAAGUCACACAUGUCCAGGCAAUGAAAUGAGAAUUUGAAGGGUCAUCCAGAAGAGCUACCAAAAACUGCCAGAGCUGAAGGGAUCCUCGCCUCUGCUUCCUUGUAAAUGUCAGCUUUUGCCACAACGCUUGUCAAGAAAAGAAGAUUCUAUCUAGUUUGACGCUCUUUUCUAAUAUCGGGGACCUAUUCAUGGCACUAGAGAGAGAUAUUUGAAAGAUGUCAAAGUCUAUUAGAGAAGAGUAUUCUAUUGUGGUUACCUGAAAUAAAAAUUCUGUCUCUACACAGCUUAUGUGAAUCCAUCCAUCCUUAAUAAUUACUUUUCCAAAAGGUACAAAAUUCAGGACAGUGAAAGACACAGUCUCACUCUGUAACCCUGGUGGCCCGAGGCUCUCUUUAUAGACCCAACUGGCCUCCAAGUCUGUGCUGCUUGUCUUUGCCUCCAGGUGUUCCAUUCUACCAACGGAGAAAUGAACGGAGAUAAUUGUGUAGCUGAUCAGAGAAGCUGUACAAUUGGAAGGAUGCACUGACUCUCAUGGCAUAAAAACACAUCCCAUCUCUUUGCUCACUGAAUUCUCUCAAUAGAAUCUCAAUUCUGAUUUGAUUUUUAAAAUGACUAAAAAUGUUUUCUUCAGUAAGAAAUCACUGAAUUGCCAAUGGUA